rnacentral:rRNA from 1 species
UCCAGACUCCUACGGGAGGCAGCAGUGGGGAAUAUUGCACAAUGGGGGAAACCCUGAUGCAGCAACGCCGCGUGAGUGAAGAAGUCAUUCGUGAUGUAAAGCUCUAUCAGCAGGGAAGAAAAUGACGGUACCUGAGUAAGAAGCCCCGGCUAACUACGUGCCAGCAGCCGCGGUAAUACGUAGGGGGCAAGCGUUAUCCGGAUUUACUGGGUGUAAAGGGCGUGUAGGCGGGAGUGCAAGUCAGAUGUGAAAACUAUGGGCUCAACCCAUAGCCCGCAUUUGAAACUGUACUUCUUGAGUGCUGGAGAGGCAAUCGGAAUUCCGUGUGUAGCGGUGAAAUGCGUAGAUAUACGGAGGAACACCAGUGGCGAAGGCGGAUUGCUGGACAGUAACUGACGUUGAGGCUCGAAAGCGUGGGGAGCAAACAGGAUUAGAUACCCGAGUAA